rnacentral:rRNA from 1 species
GAUGAACGCUGGCGGCGUGCCUAAUACAUGCAAGUCGAGCGAACAGAUGAGGAGCUUGCUCCUCUGACGUUAGCGGCGGACGGGUGAGUAACACGUGGAUAACCUACCUAUAAGACUGGGAUAACUUCGGGAAACCGGAGCUAAUACCGGAUAAUAUAUUGAACCGCAUGGUUCAAUAGUGAGAGACGGUUUUGCUGUCACUUAUAGAUGGAUCCGCGCCGCAUUAGCUAGUUGGUAAGGUAACGGCUUACCAAGGCAACGAUGCGUAGCCGACCUGAGAGGGUGAUCGGCCACACUGGAACUGAGACACGGUCCAGACUCCUACGGGAGGCAGCAGUAGGGAAUCUUCCGCAAUGGGCGAAAGCCUGACGGAGCAACGCCGCGUGAGUGAUGAAGGUCUUCGGAUCGUAAAACUCUGUUAUUAGGGAAGGACAAAUGUGUAAGUAACUAUGCACGUCUUGACGGUACCUAAUCAGAAAGCCACGGCUAACUACGUG